AUUGAACGCUGGCGGCAUGCCUUACACAUGCAAGUCGAACGGUAACAGGUCUUCGGAUGCUGACGAGUGGCGAACGGGUGAGUAACACAUCGGAACGUGCCUAGUAGUGGGGGAUAACUACUCGAAAGAGUGGCUAAUACCGCAUGAGAUCUACGGAUGAAAGCAGGGGAUCGCAAGACCUUGUGCUACUAGAGCGGCCGAUGGCAGAUUAGGUAGUUGGUGGGAUAAAAGCUUACCAAGCCGACGAUCUGUAGCUGGUCUGAGAGGACGAUCAGCCACACUGGGACUGAGACACGGCCCAGACUCCUACGGGAGGCAGCAGUGGGGAAUUUUGGACAAUGGGCGCAAGCCUGAUCCAGCAAUGCCGCGUGCAGGAUGAAGGCCUUCGGGUGUAAACUGCUUUUGUACGGAACGAAAAGCCCUGGGUUAAUACCCUGGGGUCAUGACGGUACGGUAAAAAUAAGCACCGGCUAACUACGUGCCAGCCGCCGCCGUAAUAC
rnacentral:rRNA from 1 species